UGGGGAAUAUUGCACAAUGGGCGCAAGCCUGAUGCAGCAACGCCGCGUGAGGGAUGACGGCCUUCGGGUUGUAAACCUCUUUUAGCAGGGAAGAAGCGAAAGUGACGGUACCUGCAGAAAAAGCACCGGCUAACUACGUGCCAGCAGCCGCGGUAAUACGUAGGGUGCAAGCGUUGUCCGGAAUUAUUGGGCGUAAAGAGCUCGUAGGCGGUCUGUCGCGUCUGCUGUGAAAUCCCGAGGCUCAACCUCGGGCCUGCAGUGGGUACGGGCAGACUAGAGUGCGGUAGGGGAGAAUGGAACUCCUGGUGUAGCGGUGGAAUGCGCAGAUAUCAGGAAGAACACCGAUGGCGAAGGCAGUUCUCUGGGCCGUAACUGACGCUGAGGAGCGAAAGCGUGGGGAGCGAACAGGAUUAGAUACCCUGGUAGUCCGCGCCGUAAACGUUGGGCGCUAGAUGUGGGGCACCAUUCCACGGUUUCCGUGUC
rnacentral:rRNA from 1 species